ACCGUGUCUAGCGUAAAUGACAAAAAACUUUAUAAUUGAUAUCUGAUAUUUCAAAGUCGAUUCCUAAUUGAUUCAUAUUUUCGGCUAAGUUUAUUUCUAAAAUGAAAUAAACGAAACAGAGAGUAUGCUACUUAAUUAUCUCUCAAAAAAAAAAACAUAGGGACAAUUGUUUAUGUAUGCCUGAAAAACUUUUAGCUAUCUCUCCACAAUCUCAAACGAACCCUUCGAAGGCUAAUAUUAAAAAUAUAAUUUUAAAAAUUUUUAAAGUUUUUCAAAUAUACUCCUAUAGUUAAAUUUUGUUAGUGAACAAUUAGGAACAGUCGUUAUCUCUAUAAAAUUAUCAUUUUACUUUUUUAAAUAUAUAUUUUCUAUCGUCAGUAACUUUUCUUAUUUAUCCUUAAGUCAAGGGUAAAAAAUGUAUUUUGACUUUUUGGCUUUUUGCCUUAAUUUUCAAAUAUAUUCUUUUACGGUAAAAAUUUAACUCAGGUUUAACCCGAGAUGAUAUGACAGGCACUAACAGUAGAAAUAUUUUUGAAUAAUAAAGAAAUACAUGAGGGUUACAUUUGAAAAUAAAAAAAAAAUAAAAAUAAAUGAGAUAUUUCAGAGAUUUUAAGAGAUAUGUAGGCAAUUAUCCAAAGUUAAAGGAUUGUAAGAAUAUA
rnacentral:lncRNA from 1 species